rnacentral:rRNA from 1 species
UACGUAGGCAGCGAGCGUUGUUCGGAGUUACUGGGCGUAAAGGGUGUGUAGGCGGUUGCUUAAGUUUGGUGUGAAAUCUCCCGGCUCAACCGGGAGGGUGCGCCGAAUACUGAGUGGCUAGAGUGCGGGAGAGGAAAGUGGAAUUCCUGGUGUAGCGGUGAAAUGCGUAGAUAUCAGGAGGAACACCGGUGGUGUAGACGGCUUUCUGGACCGUAACUGACGCUGAGACACGAAAGCGUGGGUAGCAAACAGG